rnacentral:rRNA from 1 species
ACGGGAGGCAGCAGUGGGGAAUAUUGCACAAUGGGCGAAAGCCUGAUGCAGCGACGCCGCGUGAGUGAAGAAGUAUUUCGGUAUGUAAAGCUCUAUCAGCAGGGAAGAAAAUGACAGUACCUGACUAAGAAGCCCCGGCUAACUACGUGCCAGCAGCCGCGGUAAUACGUAGGGGGCAAGCGUUAUCCGGAUUUACUGGGUGUAAAGGGAGCGCAGGUGGCAAGGCAAGCCAGAAGUGAAAACCCGGGGCUCAACCCCGCGGAUUGCUUUUGGAACUGUCUGGCUAGAGUGCAGGAGGGGCAGGCGGAAUUCCUAGUGUAGCGGUGAAAUGCGUAGAUAUUAGGAGGAACACCGGUGGCGAAGGCGGCCUGCUGGACUGUAACUGACACUGAGGCUCGAAAGCGUGGGGAGCAAACAGGAUUAGAUACCCUGGUA